CGCAAACUUUUUUUUCGAUAAGAACUCUAAAAAAAAAUAACGCUGUUAUCCCUAAGGUAAUUUAAUCUUUUAAUCAUAAUAUAUGGAUCAUUUACUCAUAAAUUAAUGUUUUAAUAUAAAAAAAGUUAAUUAAAUUUUUCAAUUGCCCCAAUCAAAUAUGUAUACUUUAACCUAAAGUAAAAAUGCUUAAAUUUUUAGAUUUAAAUAUAAAUAUAAAAUUCUAUAGGGUCUUCUCGUCUUUUAAAAUUAUUUAAGCUUUUUUACUUAAAAAUAAAAUUCUAAUUUAAAUUAAAUUGAGACAGUCUCUCCCUCGUCAAACCUUUCAUACCAGUUCUCAAUUAAAAAACUAAUUAUUAUGCUACCUUUGCACGGUCAAAGUACCGCGGCCAUUUAAAUAUUUAUUCAUAGGGCAGGCCAGACUUUAAAUUAUACUCAAAAAGACAU
rnacentral:rRNA from 1 species